rnacentral:rRNA from 1 species
AUUGAACGCUGGCGGCAGGCCUAACACAUGCAAGUCGAACGAGUGGCGGACGGGUGAGUAAUGUCUGGGAAACUGCCUGAUGGAGGGGGAUAACUACUGGAAACGGUAGCUAAUACCGCAUACCAUCGGAUGUGCCCAGAUGGGAUUAGCUAGUAGGUGGGGUAAAGGGGCACCGAGGCGACGAUCCCUAGCUGGUCUGAGAGGAUGACCAGGCGCACGGGAACAUGGACACGGUCCAGAGUCCGACGGGAGGCAGCAGUGGGGAAGAGGGCACAAUGGGCGCAAGCCUGAUUCAGCCAUGCCGCGUGUAUGAAGAAGGCCUUCGGGUUGUAAAGUACUUUCAGCGGGUAGGCGUUACCCGCAGAAGAAGCACCGGCUAACUCCGUGCCAGCAGCCGCGGUAAUUC